UUAGCCACUGGCAGCACACCAGCCCUUCUUACCACCCCACCCCUUCAGGCUGAGGGAUUAAUGGUCCCAUGACUUUAAAGACCAGAAGAGCUAGCACCCAAGGAGCAAAGAUGGGACCCUGGCUCUACAGGCUGUCAUGAUGAAGCCCAGCCCAGGCUGAUGUGGGACCUCCUGCCUCCGCUCCCUGAGUGCUGAGAUUAGACAGGCAUGGGCACCUCUGCCUUUAGCCUGCUUCUUAUUCACUUACUUUACACUGGUGCCGAGGGUUCGAAUCCAGGUUCCAUGCUUGUGCAGAGGGCAUUGCUACCACUGCAAUGUCUCAUCCAGCUCAAAUUACUUAAAAAAAAAAAUACGAUUAUGCGUAUGGAUAUUUUGCUUGCACAUAUGUAUGGGCACUGCAUGUGUGUGGCGGUCACAGAAGUCAGGUGUCAGAACAAAUGGAAUUACAGAUGGUCGUGAGCUGCUACGUAGGUGUCAAGAGCAGUAAAUAGUUUCAACCACUGAGCCCCACAACUUUCCCUUUGGCAGUCUACGUACUCACGAGAGACAUGCAAACGAAAAACUCCCACCAUGAGUUGCCACCAGGAAAGUCUGGGAGGGGCCAGGGCACUGCUUACCACAUGCUGACCAACUCUCACAGUCUCCAUUACGGCCCCGGAGCUCAAUACCCACAAUGCCUCACCAGUCUUGCCAGGGAGAACAGCCACACCCAGAUUACUGCCACAGUGGCUGUAACUGCUAAGGACGGCAAAGAGCCAAACCAAAAUUCUAUGAAAGUUUCCAAAAAUGCUUUAGUUUUUUUUUUUUUUUUUUUUUAAAAGGGGACACACAGGAACAAAAGGCAGAGAGGAUGAGGGAGGGGGCAGGCAGCUGAGGUGGAUGCCAUGCUGUGUACUCUCCUGUACCUUCUGAAUUCACAACCAUGUAAAUACAUUAUUCAGAGAAACAAAAUACAAAUGACUGUAGCUACUGAA